UUCUGACUUUUUGGUGGAUGACAAAUCCUACCAGUAGAGGGGGCCUUAUUCUGCUUGGAAAGUCCUCUAAGCUCAAGGAUCUUUGCAGGAAACAGGAUCACCCCUCCAUUUGUUUGCUGACCACCACCUCCUUUUACUCUGACUUAGUCAUUUUACAGUGUCAGCACCAGCCUGUGGAUCUGUCUGACAGCGGAUGUAUUGUCACAGUGCAGUCUGAGAUCCAGCCUUCAGCUUUUGUAAGAAUCCAGUUAGCCACUGCACAAAACAUCUUGUUAAAAUCGCAAUUCUAAGGCCUCUUCUUGGCUUUAUUGUUCCUUUCUGUUCUUUAAAUUUGUAAAUGAUUUUUAACUUUAUGAGCAUAGAAGGCAUUAAAAUUCGACUAUACCGGAACAAAAAUUUAUAAUUCCAGCAUGAAUGCAACGAUCAAAACGUUAAUCCAGGACGUGCACAGAUAGACUGGACCAGCGCUGGGUGACGGUGCUCAAUCUUUCUGCUGCAAUGGAAUGGAGUGCACUGACGCUCUGCACAAAUAUCUGCACAGGGCAGUGUUAUAGAUAACCACUCACUGCUCCCUGAGGGGCUUGAGAUCAUUCGAUGUCUAAGAACUACUACUGGCUUGUAAAUGUCAAGAGAAAUUAUGAACAUUUGUAGAAAAGUAACUGUUUGACUAAUUUCCUGUUCCAUGGAGCAAACACACUGCCCCAUGUAUUUAGAAUCUGGUGCUGACAGCCAGGCCAUGGCAAGCUUCAAGGUUAUAGGAUCAUAAAUGGGAUUAGAUAAGCCAGACAGUGCGGCUCAGACUCCAGCACUUUAAAAAUAUUAUUAAAACCCCAGGAAAGGCAAACAAUUUUGAAGGGAAAGUAAGAUAUAACAGACUCCCACCAAGAGAGAAAAGAAUCUUGGAUAUGAUACUGGAACUUGGUAACCCCUUCCCCCACCCACCCCCCGCUGCCCCCGCCAGAGCACUUCCAGAGUGUAUGUUAGUUAGCAUCAAUCAACAUUUUAGGACAUAAGACAUAAUGCAACAAGUCAUGCUUUGUAGCUCAGACAGAUUUUUCUAUUUGAUUUGAUCCAUGACGAAAAAAAAAAAUUUUAAGGAAAGAACAAAGAAAACUUACUGAGAAAACCAAAAUCGACAAUAAGAAGUCGCAGUUCCAGAGAGCAGAAUGCAGUGCCCCACCUGGAAGCCUUUGUGUUUUAAAUUAUCUGUUUCUUUUUAAUUGACCAGAUUAAUUAUUUCCACCUUGCUACUUGGCAGGUAGGGUCACUAUUCCUUUUUACAGCAUUAAUGAACUCAUUCACUUUUUUUUCCAUGUAAUUAAGACUAUGAGUUGCAGAUCACAUUCUUAAAUCGGCUUAGUGUACAGCCAAUUCAGUCUUUAUUAAACAAAAUAUAUGACAUCAGGUAUUUCUCACUGAAAAAGAGUGUUGAGUUUCUACUGAGUUUUCCUCCAGUUGAGAGAGGAGAGUGGUGACUUUGUUCUUUUUAUUUUUUGGAGAAGAAACACAGACCUUGUAAAGGUUGUAGCCUCCAGGGUGGUGUUUCAUUCUUAAUAGACUCAAAGUCUGGAGAUUUAAAGGGCAGCUGAUGGAUUCAUGUUCAGGUAUUUCUAUUGCCACCAAAAUUCUGACCAGGUCCUUUCAUGAGCUAUUUGAAAAGAAAUAACUUUGGGUAUGCUGUUAAGUUAGUUAUGUGAAAUAUAUUGCCCUCUUCUGUUAGCUUUAUUUCUAGGCCAUUUAGGAAGCCCUAGGAAUAUUAAGAGUUUCUCAGUACAUUGACUACAGUAGCCGAACACAGUACAGAAGGCCGUUUGCGGUGUCUACAGUCCUCCAGAGAGCAAACUUUAAGGCAAUGCAAACUAUCUCCCAAAGCAUUUGGUUUCAUUCAAGACUUCUGGAUCUCAAGUUGAUUCCCAGAGGAACUCAAUUUGGAAGUAAAGGGUAAGGUGCUUUAAUCUUUCCAGGACCCAAAUGAGAUUUCCUCCAUUAAAUUGAGUCUGGUGGAGCACCUGAUCGAGAGAGAAACUGAUGGGCAGACAUCAAGAAAUUGAUGAACAGACAUCUUAAUGCUGGUCCUCUUUGCCACUAGCAAAAGACAAGCAACAUACAUUUAAAAUAUUAGGAAUACCAGUGCAUUGUUUUUACAUAUUAAAAGCUUGUGAGAAAUUCA